ACCUGGAGGGUGUGCUGACCUCAGUGGGGGUGUCCUGGAGAGGCAGGAACCAGGGUUUCCAGGAUGCAGAUCCUGCUGAAGCAAAUGGACGUGGCAUCCUUGGGCAGAGCUGGCUGUGGCGUCCCCCCUCUGCCUGCGGUGUCACCAAAUGCACCCAGACACCCCUUCUAAACCUGCAGGGUGUGCUGACCUCAGUGGGGUGUCCCGGAGAGGCAGGAACCAGGGUUUACAGGGUGCAGAUCCUGCUGAAGCAAAUGGACGUGGCAUCCUCAGGCAGAGCUGGCUGUGGCGUCCCCCCUCUGCCUGCGGUGUCACCAAAUGCACCCAGACACCCCUCCUAAACCUGCAGGGUGUGCU
rnacentral:lncRNA from 1 species